rnacentral:RNase_P_RNA from 1 species
AGGAAAGCUCAAGCAGCCGCUUUCAAUGUAACAGUUGGGAGAGGAAAGUCCGGACACUCAAGGGCAAUGCACCGUGUGAAAGCGCGGGUGCAGCGGGGCAAACCCGCUGUAACGGAUCAGUAUCACAGAAAACAAACUACCAUUCGGGGCAACCCGAUUGGAAAAGGUGAAAAGGCGGUGUAAGAGACCACCGUGCAUUCAGUAAUGAAUGCUGCAAGAUAAACCCUGCAUGAGUGCAAGGCCGCGUAAAGUAUCACUUUCGGGCUGCCCGUCUGAAUCUGCCAAGGCAGUGUGAUACAGGGUAGGCUGCACAAGAUAAAUGGCUGCCCAUGCCCCGCAAGGGGCGGGAACAGGAUCCGGCUUAUGAGCUUUCCGUUUU